GACGAACGCUGGCGGCGUGCCUAAUACAUGCAAGUAGAACGCACAGUUUAUACCGUAGCUUGCUACACCAUAGACUGUGAGUUGCGAACGGGUGAGUAACGCGUAGGUAACCUGCCUGGUAGCGGGGGAUAACUAUUGGAAACGAUAGCUAAUACCGCAUAAUAUUAAUUAUUGCAUGAUAAUUAAUUGAAAGGUGCAAUUGCACCACUACCAGAUGGACCUGCGUUGUAUUAGCUAGUAGGUGAGGUAGCGGCUCACCUAGGCGACGAUACAUAGCCGACCUGAGAGGGUGAUCGGCCACACUGGGAAUGAGACACGGCCCAGACUCCUACGGGAGGCAGCAGUAGGGAAUCUUCGGCAAUGGACGAAAGUCUGACCGAGCAACGCCGCGUGAGUGAAGAAGGUUUUCGGAUCGUAAAGCUCUGUUGUAAGAGAAGAACGGGUGUGAGAGUGGAAAGUUCACACUGUGACGGUAUCUUACCAGAAAGGGACGGCUAACUACGUG
rnacentral:rRNA from 1 species